GCCGACGUAGCUCAGCGGUAGAGCAGCUGUUUCGUAAACAGCAGGUCAAGGGUUCGAAUCCCCUCGUCGGCUCCA
rnacentral:tRNA from 1 species